UUGGACUAGAGUUUGAUCCUGGCUCAGAACGAACGCUGGCGGCGUGCCUAACACAUGCAAGUCGAACGAGAAAGGGGCUUCGGCCCUGAGUAAAGUGGCGCACGGGUGAGUAACACGUGGGUAACCUGCCUCUGAGAUUGGGAUAACCUGUCGAAAGACGGACUAAUACCGAAUAAGACCACGGUUUCCUUGGAAACAGGGGUAAAAGGUAGCCUCUACUUGUAAGCUAUCACUUAGAGAUGGGCCUGCGUACCAUUAGCUCGUUGGUGGGGUAACGGCCUACCAAGGCAAAGAUGGUUAGCUGGUCUGAGAGGAUGAUCAGCCACACUGGAACUGAGACACGGUCCAGACUCCUACGGGAGGCAGCAGUGGGGAAUAUUGCGCAAUGGGCGAAAGCCUGACGCAGCAACGCCGCGUGAGUGAUGAAGGC
rnacentral:rRNA from 1 species